rnacentral:rRNA from 1 species
GUGGGGAAUUUUGGACAAUGGGCGCAAGCCUGAUCCAGCCAUUCCGCGUGCAGGAUGAAGGCCUUCGGGUUGUAAACUGCUUUUGUACGGAACGAAAAGCCUCUGGUUAAUACCCGGGGGUCAUGACGGUACCGUAAGAAUAAGCACCGGCUAACUACGUGCCAGCAGCCGCGGUAAUACGUAGGGUGCGAGCGUUAAUCGGAAUUACUGGGCGUAAAGCGUGCGCAGGCGGUGAUGUAAGACAGGCGUGAAAUCCCCGGGCUCAACCUGGGAAUUGCGCUUGUGACUGCAGGGCUGGAGGACGGCAGAGGGGGAUGGAAUUCCGCGUGUAGCAGUGAAAUGCGUAGAUAUGCGGAGGAACACCGAUGGCGAAGGCAGUCCCCUGGGCCUGUACUGACGCUCAUGCACGAAAGCGUGGGGAGCAAACAGGAUUAGAAACCCUAGUAGUCC